GAUUUGAUCCUGGCUCAGAACGAACGCUGGCGGCGUGGAUUAGGCAUGCAAGUCGUGCGCGAAAGCGGGCUUCGGCUCGUUAGUAGAGCGGCGAACUGGUGAGUACAAGGUGACUAACCUGCCCUUGAGUGGGGAAUAACCUGUCGAAAGACGGGCUAAUACCGCAUGGUUUCUUCGGGUUUCGGCCUUAAGAAUAAAGCAGUAAUGCGCUCAGGGAUGGGGUCACCUCCCAUUAGCUAGUUGGUGGGGUAACGGCCCACCAAGGCUACGAUGGGUAGCUGGACUGAGAGGUUGGCCAGCCACACUGGGACUGAGAUACGGCCCAGACUCCUACGGGGGGCAGCAGUCUAGAGGCUUUGACAAUGCCCGAAAGGGUGAUCAAGCGACGCCGCGUGCGGGAUGAAGGUCUUCGGAUUGUAAACCGCUUUUGUUUGGGGAGAAGGCCCUGCUCGUGAAGCAGGGAUUGACGGUACCAGACGAAUAAGCCCCGGCUAACUCCGUGCC
rnacentral:rRNA from 1 species